AUAAUUAUGUUUUGCUUACAAUUCUCUCAAAUACAAGAUAGUUGAUUGCAAGUUUAUUGCGUGGAUUGAUUAUUCAUAUUUAUUUAAAUCACUUUUUUAAUAUACAACAUAAUUUCUAGCCAUUGCUUUCUGUCUAUUUAUUUUCAAUGACUAUGUAUCACCUUUAUUUUAAAAUUACGUGUAAUUUCUUUAAGAAAUACAUACUUUGCUCUAAUAUAAGUGCUCCAUGCGGACACAGAUGUUUAAGCCUUGCUGUGCAAGCUCAUGUUUCGAAAACUUCGAUCGCGCUUACCUCAUGAGCGAAUUACUAGACAUAGACUCCAGGUGCACUUAGGAUUUGCGAUGAGUUUCCAUGCAUUGCAGACAUUGAAAUGUCUGUGAUAUGUCUGAAGAAUCUUUUUAAGUAAAACUAGUACUUAUUUAAGUCAAUAAUUUAAUUUGUUAAACAGCAAAAAAUAUUUAAAAUUAAGAUAUACCUAGAAAUUUUAAGAUUAUUCAAAGAUGUAAACAUGAAAAAUAAAAAAUGUUGAAAAGAGCGGAACUACA